ACCACCGGGCCGGGCUCUCCCCCGCAGUCCCCGCCCGCCGCCGCCGCCGCCGGAGCUGCCACUGUCCCCUACACUGAGCCUGCCCACAGCCUGGGGGCGCCCCCCGGGCACCUGACUCUGGCUGGCACCCUGGGCAGGGGCACACGGUUCCUGUGGGAAAGGCCCCGUGGGGACAAAGGGGGCCCGGGGGAGCCCAGAAAACGAGGAAGGAGAAACCUGAGCCUCGUGCCGCCGAGAGCAAGGCCCCGGGACCUCAGGGUCCUGGACGAGAAGCAGGCCUGGCCAUGGUUGGAACUGGAGAUUGGUUAUACCUGGUGUUGUUCAGAAAGAUGCAAUUUUAAAGGAAGAAAAAAGCACAAAAAUAAUUUCAGGACAGGAAGGCUCAGGAGACACUAGGUAGCUUCUAAUUUCCCCCCAAAUAGUUCACUGCAUCUCUUCUUUUGGGGGAGGGGCAGCAGGACUCAUUAGCCUGAUUUACAGACACAGAGAGGCUCGGGACCAGCACGACGGAAUGAAGCGUGGAGCUGUAACUCGUUUGGGGCCGUUUCUUCCCGGCCCAGUGCUCCUUUCAGGGGGCACGCGAAGGUGGGUGUGCAAAAGCCUUCACUACUACGUCCGUCCCAGAAUCCGGCUGCCCUGCCUGGGGGGACACACAGAUCACUGGGAUCACGAGUCAUUACUAGGGAGGCCCCUGAUGGUUGUUUCCAGAAUUGCAGGCAAAAAAGCAAUAAAGAAACCGUAGGUCA